rnacentral:rRNA from 1 species
UGGGGAAUAUUGCACAAUGGGCGCAAGCCUGAUGCAGCCAUGCCGCGUGUGUGAAGAAGGCCUUCGGGUUGUAAAGCACUUUCAGCGAGGAGGAAGGUGGUGAGCUUAAUACGCUCAUCAAUUGACGUUACUCGCAGAAGAAGCACCGGCUAACUCCGUGCCAGCAGCCGCGGUAAUACGGAGGGUGCAAGCGUUAAUCGGAAUUACUGGGCGUAAAGCGCACGCAGGCGGUUUGUUAAGUCAGAUGUGAAAUCCCCGGGCUCAACCUGGGAACUGCAUUUGAAACUGGCAAGCUAGAGUCUCGUAGAGGGGGGUAGAAUUCCAGGUGUAGCGGUGAAAUGCGUAGAGAUCUGGAGGAAUACCGGUGGCGAAGGCGGCCCCCUGGACGAAGACUGACACUCAGGUGCGAAAGCGUGGGGCAGCAAACAGGAUUAGAUACCCUGGUAGUCCACGCUGUAAACGAUGUCGAUUUUGGAGGUUGUGCCCUUGAGGCGUGGCUUCCGGAGCUAACGCGUUAAAUCGACCGCCUGGGGAGUACGGCCGCAAGGUUAAAACUCAAAGGAAUUGACGGGGUCUAGCUG